GUUAUAUUGUUAUUUUGAGAAGCUCCACCCAUUUUAUGUAUGUAUACUGUUGAUUUUAAAGUGGUAAAGGGGAUUCCACUUUGAGGUGUAUAGAGCUUCGUAUUGCACAUCUUCCACAUUGUGCACACACUUGUUAUAAAGAUAUGCAAAUAUUCGCCUCCUGUCAUUACUAAAAUUAAGAUUAUUAGUACACUAAAGCUAAUAUAAUCUUCAAUUUUCUGAUAUGAGAUUUCUUAAAAUAUAUAACUGGAAUGCUGAUUUAAUACAAGACCAGUGAAGCCUCUACAUUUUGUACAAUAUUGUUUGACUGUCU